GACGAACGCUGGCGGCGUGCUUAACACAUGCAAGUCGAACGAAGUGGCGAACGGGUGAGUAACGCGUAAUCAACCUGCCCUUCAGAGGGGGACAACAGUUGGAAACGACUGCUAAUACCGCAUACUGAGGGAGGGGAUUGCGUCUGUUUAGCUAGUGGGGGGGGUAACGGCCCACCAAGGCGAUGAUCAGUAGCCGGUCUGAGGGGGGGAACUGGCACAGUGGGACCUGGACACGGCCCAGACUCCUACGGGAGGCAGCAGUUGGGAAUCUUCCGGAAUGGACGAAAGUCUGACGGAGCAACGCCGCGGGAGUGAUGACGGCCUUCGGGUUGUAAAGCUCUGUUAAUCGGGACGCGGUACCGGAAUAGAAAGCCACGGCUAACUACGUGCCAGCAGCCGCGGUAAUAC
rnacentral:rRNA from 1 species